rnacentral:rRNA from 1 species
AAGUCGUAACAAGGUUUCCGUAGGUGAACCUGCGGAAGGAUCAUUAAAGAGAACUGGACAUGAACCAGUGCGCGGCUUCGGCCCCGCCCUCUUCACCCUUUGUAUAUCUUACCUUUGUUGCUUUGGCAGGCCUUGAGGUCCCCUCAUGCCGGCGUUUCGCCGGCGAGUGCUUGCCAGAGGCCCCUAAACUCCGAAUUUCAAUGCAGUCUGAGCAAAAAACAAAUAAAAUUAAAACUUUCAACAACGGAUCUCUUGGUUCUGGCAUCGAUGAAGAACGCAGCGAAAUGCGAUAAGUAAUGUGAAUUGCAGAAUUCAGUGAAUCAUCGAAUCUUUGAACGCACAUUGCGCCCCUCGGUAUUCCGGGGGGCAUGCCUGUUCGAGCGUCAUUGCACCCCUCAAGCGUAGCUUGNUAUUGGGCUUUCGNCCUUGCGGACGCGCCUGAAAAAGAGUGGCGGUCCGGUGCGACUUCAAGCGUAGUAAAAUAUCUCCCGCUUUGNAAGCUUUCGCGCCGUGGCUGGCCAAAACCCANCCACUUUUCAAUGAUUGACCUCGGAUCAGGUAGGGAUACCCGCUGAACUUAAGCAUAUCAAUAAGCGGAGGAAAAGAAACCAACAGGGAUUGCCUCAGUAACGGCGAGUGAAGCGGCAACAGCUCAAAUUUGAAAUCUGGCUCUCUCAGAGUCCGAGUUGUAAUUUGUAGAGGAUGUUUCGGGCGCGGCGCAGGUCUAAGUCCCUUGGAACGGGGCGUCAUAGAGGGUGAGAAUCCCGUAUGUGACCUGUGACCAACUCCAUGUGAAGCUCCUUCGACGAGUCGAGUUGUUUGGGAAUGCAGCUCUAAAUGGGUGGUAAAUUUCAUCUAAAGCUAAAUACCGGCCAGAGACCGAUAGCGCACAAGUAGAGUGAUCGAAAGAUGAAAAGCACUUUGGAAAGAGAGUUAAAAAGUACGUGAAAUUGUUGAAAGGGAAGCGCUUGCAACCAGACCUGUCCGUGGGCGAUCAACGGCUGUUCUCAGCCGUGCACUCGCCCCGAUCAGGCCAGCAUCGGUUUGGGCGGCGGGAUAAAGGCGUCGGAAAUGUAGCUCCUCCCGGGGAGUCUUAUAGACCUUCGUGCAAUGCCGCCAGUCCAGACCGAGGACCGCGCUUCGGCUAGGAUGCUGGCAUAAUGGUUGUAAGCGACC